UUGGCCUGGUGCAAAGAGCGGGAGCACUCCUGGGGCCUGCACGAUGCCGUCACUCCCGGAAGUGAUGUCAUCAUGUUGCCAUGAUGCCAAGAUCUCCUCAAGUGCGUAAGAAAAUAAAACUGUCAGAGAGAUUGCAUCCGCCACAAGUCUUCACAGAACAGCAAGUGAUUCUGGUCUGAGACGAACACAACUUACACACCUCACAACAGGCAUACAGAUCUUUUUAACCCUUUCUACCAAUGGAUGAACUCCACCACUAGUCCCAAUCAAGGUCCUAAGCUUAUCUUCCUCCCAUCAUACUCCACUGCAUGGAGCCCUGGCUAAAUUGGCAUUGCCAGGUAAGGGUUGGGAAAUUCCUGGCGAUUUGGGGGUGGAGCCUUUGGAGGGUGGGGGUUGAGGAGGAGAAGGACGGCAGUGUGAUAUAAUUUCAUAGAAUCCACCCUCCAAAGCAGCCAU